rnacentral:tRNA from 1 species
GGAGAGAUGCCUGAGUGGUCGAAAGGAAACGCUUGGAGAGCGUUCGUAUGAGAAAUCAUACCGUGGGUUCGAAUCCCACUCUCUCCG